rnacentral:rRNA from 1 species
UACGGAAGGCAGCAGUGGGGAAUAUUGCACAAUGGGCGCAAGCCUGAUGCAGCCAUGCCGCGUGUAUGAAGAAGGCCUUCGGGUUGUAAAGUACUUUCAGUCGUGAGGAAGGUGUUAAGGUUAAUAACCUUAGCAAUUGACGUUAGCGACAGAAGAAGCACCGGCUAACUCCGUGCCAGCAGCCGCGGUAAUACGGAGGGUGCGAGCGUUAAUCGGAAUUACUGGGCGUAAAAGGGCACGCAGGCGGUUAAUUAAGUUGGAUGUGAAAUCCCCGGGCUUAACCUGGGAAUGGCAUUCAAGACUGGUUAGCUAGAGUCUUGUAGAGGGGGUAGAAUUCCAUGUGUAGCGGUGAAAUGCGUAGAGAUGUGGAGGAAUACCGGGUGGCGAAGGCGGCCCCUGGGACAAAGACUGACGCUCAUGUGCGAAAGCGUGGGGAGCAAACAGGGAUUAGAUACC